UACGGGGGGGGCAAGCGUUGUUCGGAAUUACUGGGCGUAAAGGGCUUGUAGGCGGCCAACUAAGUCAGACGUGAAAUCCCUCGGCUUAACCGGGGAACUGCGUCUGAUACUGGAUGGCUUGAGUUUGGGAGAGGGAUGCGGAAUUCCAGGUGUAGCGGUGAAAUGCGUAGAUAUCAAGAGGAACACCUGAGGUGAAGACGGGUUGCUGGGCUGAUACUGACGCUGAGGCGCGAAAGCUAGGGUAGCAAACAGG
rnacentral:rRNA from 1 species